rnacentral:tRNA from 1 species
GUGGCGGGUAGCUCAACAGUAGAGCGCCAACUUUUUGCCUAAUGGGACGUAGACCGAGGGUUAUCGUUGAAAUCGAAUUCUCCCUUAGUCGCCGGAGAUGCGGGUGCAAUUCCCGCUCCGCUACACCA